GACGAACGCUGGCGGCGCGCCUAACACAUGCAAGUCGAACGAGCGAGAGAGAGCUUGCUUUCUCGAGCGAGUGGCGAACGGGUGAGUAACGCGUGAGGAACCUGCCUCAAAGAGGGGGACAACAGUUGGAAACGACUGCUAAUACCGCAUAAGCCCACGGCUCGGCAUCGAGCAGAGGGAAAAGGAGCAAUCCGCUUUGAGAUGGCCUCGCGUCCGAUUAGCUAGUUGGUGAGGUAAUGGCCCACCAAGGCGACGAUCGGUAGCCGGACUGAGAGGUUGAACGGCCACAUUGGGACUGAGACACGGCCCAGACUCCUACGGGAGGCAGCAGUGGGGAAUAUUGCACAAUGGGGGAAACCCUGAUGCAGCGACGCCGCGUGGAGGAAGAAGGUCUUCGGAUUGUAGACUCCUGUUGUUGAGGAAGAUAAUGACGGUACUCAACAAGAAAGUGACGGCUAACUACGUGCCAGCAGCCGCGGUAAAACGUAGGUCACAAGCGUUGUCCGGAAUUACUGGGUGUAAAGGGAGCGCAGGCGGGAAGACAAGUUGGAAGUGAAAUCCAUGGGCUCAACCCAUGAACUGCUUUCAAAACUGUUUUUCUUGAGUAGUGCAGAGGUAGGCGGAAUUCCCGGUGUAGCGGUGGAAUGCGUAGAUAUCGGGAGGAACACCAGUGGCGAAGGCGGCCUACUGGGCACCAACUGACGCUGAGGCUCGAAAGUGUGGGUAGCAAACAGGAUUAGAUACCCUGGUAGUCCACACUGUAAACGAUGAUUACUAGGUGUUGGAGGAUUGACCCCUUCAGUGCCGCAGUUAACACAAUAAGUAAUCCACCUGGGGAGUACGACCGCAAGGUUGAAACUCAAAGGAAUUGACGGGGGCCCGCACAAGCAGUGGAGUAUGUGGUUUAAUUCGACGCAACGCGAAGAACCUUACCAAGUCUUGACAUCCCUUGACGAUGCUGGAAACAGUAUUUCUCUUCGGAGCAAGGAGACAGGUGGUGCAUGGUUGUCGUCAGCUCGUGUCGUGAGAUGUUGGGUUAAGUCCCGCAACGAGCGCAACCCUUAUGGUCAGUUACUACGCAAGAGGACUCUGGCCAGACUGCCGUUGACAAAACGGAGGAAGGUGGGGAUGACGUCAAAUCAUCAUGCCCUUUAUGACUUGGGCUACACACGUACUACAAUGGCGUUAAACAAAGAGAAGCAAGACCGCGAGGUGGAGCAAAACUCAGAAACAACGUCCCAGUUCGGACUGCAGGCUGCAACUCGCCUGCACGAAGUCGGAAUUGCUAGUAAUCGCAGAUCAGCAUGCUGCGGUGAAUACGUUCCCGGGCCU
rnacentral:rRNA from 1 species